rnacentral:rRNA from 1 species
CAGUAGCCACGGUAAUACGGAGGGGGCUAGCGUUGUUCGGAAUUACUGGGCGUAAAGCGCACGUAGGCGGCUUUGUAAGUUAGAGGUGAAAGCCCGGGGCUCAACUCCGGAAUUGCCUUUAAGACUGCAUCGCUAGAAUUGUGGAGAGGUAAGUGGAAUUCCGAGUGUAGAGGUGAAAUUCGUAGAUAUUCGGAAGAACACCAGUGGCGAAGGCGACUUACUGGACACAUAUUGACGCUGAGGUGCGAAAGCGUGGGGAGCAAACAGGAUUAGAUACCCCUGUAGUCCCUGUCUCUUAUAC